rnacentral:ncRNA from 1 species
AAACUUGAGAGUUUGAUCCUGGCUCAGAACGAACGCUGGCGGCAGGCUUAACACAUGCAAGUCGAACGC